GCUGGGCUUGGUGGCGGGCACCUGUAAUCCCAGCUACUGGGGAGGCUGAGGCAGGAAAAUCACUUGAACCUGGGAGGCGGAGGUUGUAGUGAGCCGAGAUUGUGCCACUGCACUCCAGCCUGGGCGACAGAGCGGGACCCUGUCUCAAAAAAAAGGGUCCCGCUCUGUCGCCCAGGCUGGAGUGCAGUGGCCGGAUCUCAGCUCACUGCAAGCUCCGCCUCCCGGGUUCACGCCAUGCUCCUGCCUCAG
rnacentral:sRNA from 1 species